AAAUCAUUCAUAUAUUUUAUAUUUCCUCCUCCUCCUCUCCAUUCCACAUCCUUAAUGUACAUAACACUCUUAUAAAUAACAUUUUCUAUAAUUUUACUAUUCACUCACAUGUAUAUUCAAAGCUGUCUAUCCGAGUCAGAGUCACUAAAUUAUUUUUAUCCGGAGCUACAGAGCUCCAAAUUAAGAUCUGUUAAUUUUCCCUGAAACUAGAUUCACAUAUAUUCUUACCAUAAAAUUUUCAUAAUUUUUUGCUUAGCCAAUAAGUACAGUUUAUUCUUUAAAUUUUCCUCUAUUCCAUUGUUCAACAGUUCUGUCCUCUCUUCACUAAAAAUUAAUUAUCUCACUGUACAGAAUUUGGAUGGUACUUAUGUUUAUUUUACUUGAAAAUAGACUCAUUCAGGGUUAUAAACAUAUAAAUUUUAGCCUGUAAUUAUUUUUUUACAAUUUUUAAAAAUUUUCCAAAGUUACAAUAGGGGAUUCCAAAUUCAUUUUGACACUGUCUCACUAAAAUUAAAAUAUCUCAAAAUAUAUAACUCUUUUGAUUACUCUGUUUCUUUUAUGUAAAAAUAGACUCAUUAACCUUUCAUUUCAUAUCUUAUUCACUCUCUAAUUCAAUUUUCACUAUUUUUGGUGAUUUUUCAAAAUCAUGCAACUGUUUC
rnacentral:lncRNA from 1 species